rnacentral:rRNA from 1 species
GGACUACUGGGGUAUCUAAUCCUGUUUGCUCCCCACGCUUUCGCACCUCAGCGUCAGUAUCAGUCCAGCGAGUCGCCUUCGCCACUGGUGUUCCUCCGAAUAUCUACGAAUUUCACCUCUACACUCGGAAUUCCACUCGCCUCUCCUGAUCUCCAGGCUUGCAGUCUAGAAGGCAGUUCCAGGGUUGAGCCCUGGGAUUUCACCCCCUACUUACAAACCCGCCUACGUGCGCUUUACGCCCAGUAAUUCCGAACAACGCUAGCCCCCUUCGUAUUACCGCGGCUGCUGGCAC